rnacentral:rRNA from 1 species
CAGAAUGCUAAUACCGCAUGACAUAUCGGAACCACAUGGUUUUGAUAUCAAAGAUUUUAUCGCUUGAAGAUGGACUCGCGUCCGAUUAGUUAGUUGGUGAGGUAACGGCUCACCAAGACCGCGAUCGGUAGCCGGACUGAGAGGUUGAACGGCCACAUUGGGACUGAGACACGGCCCAGACUCCUACGGGAGGCAGCAGUGGGGGAUAUUGCGCAAUGGGGGCAACCCUGACGCAGCAACGCCGCGUGAAGGAUGAAGGUUUUCGGAUUGUAAACUUCUUUUAUUAAGGACGAAACUUGACGGUACUUAAUGAAUAAGCUCCGGCUAACUACGUGCCAGCAGCCGCGGUAAUACGUAGGGAGCAAGCGUUGUCCGGAUUUACUGGGUGUAAAGGGUGCGUAGGCGGCUUUGCAAGUCAGAUGUGAAAUCUAUGGGCUCAACCCAUAAACUGCAUUUGAAACUGUAGAGCUUGAGUGAAGUAGAGGCAGGCGGAAUUCCCCGUGUAGCGGUGAAAUGCGUAGAGAUGGGGAGGAACACCAGUGGCGAAGGCGGCCUGCUGGGCUUUAACUGACGCUGAGGCACGAAAGCGUGGGUAGCAAACAGGAUUAGAUACCCUGGUAGUCCACGCUGUAAACGAUGAUUACUAGGUGUGGGGGGUCUGA